rnacentral:misc_RNA from 1 species
CCAAAACUUAGCUGUCUGGCCGCAAGGUCGUGACGCUUCAACCCUUUGUGAACCAAAAAACCUUUCGCUUCGGCAGCUGGGCCAGCUGGAAACAGUCGUCCCAUCAGCCUGCCGUUAGCACCAACCUUUAAAACUUGCAGUCAAAAACAUUGUCUGAACACCAAAUUUUCGAAUGAAAAUCA